AGUGAACGCUGGCGAUAGGCCUAACACAUGCAAGUCGAACGGCAGCACAGUAAGAGCUUGCUCUUACGGGUGGCGAGUGGCGGACGGGUGAGGAAUACAUCGGAAUCUACUUUUUCGUGGGGGAUAACGUAGGGAAACUUACGCUAAUACCGCAUACGACCUACGGGUGAAAGCAGGGGAUCUUCGGACCUUGCGCGAUUGAAUGAGCCGAUGUCGGAUUAGCUAGUUGGCGGGGUAAAGGCCCACCAAGGCGACGAUCCGUAGCUGGUCUGAGAGGAUGAUCAGCCACACUGGAACUGAGACACGGUCCAGACUCCUACGGGAGGCAGCAGUGGGGAAUAUUGGACAAUGGGCGCAAGCCUGACCCAGCCAUACCGCGUGGGUGAAGAAGGCCUUCGGGUUGUAAAGCCCUUUUGUUGGGAAAGAAAAGCAGCAGGUUAAUACCCCGCUGUUCUGACGGUACCCAAAGAAUAAGCACCGGCUAACUUCGUG
rnacentral:rRNA from 1 species